UGAAGAUUGGCUCAGUGGUAGAGCAGACUCUUGAUAAGGGUCAGGUCGCUGGUUCGAACCCAGCAUCUUCAA
rnacentral:tRNA from 1 species